rnacentral:rRNA from 1 species
CGGAUCGGAGUCUGCAACCCGACUCCGUGAAGCUGGAUUCGCUAGUAAUCGCGCAUCAGCCAUGGCGCGGUGAAUACGUUCCCGGGCCUUGUACACACCGCCCGUCAAGCCAUGGGAGCCGGGGGUGCUUGAAGUGCGUCGCCGUGAGGCGCGCCCUAGAGCAAAACCGGUGACUGGGGCUAAGUCGUAACAAGGUACC